AUUGAACGCUGGCGGCAGGCCUAACACAUGCAAGUCGAGCGGAGCGGCGGACGGGUGGGUAAUGCCUAGGAAUCUGCCUGGUAGGGGGGGAUAACGUCCGGAAACGGGCGCUAAUACCGCAUACUAUCAUACGAGCCUAGGUCGGGUUAGAUAGUUGGUGGGGUAAAGGCCGACAAAGGCGACGAUCCGUAACUGGUCUGAGAGGAUGAUCAGUCACACAGGAGUGGAGACUAGGUCCAGAUGCCUACGGGAGGCAGCAGAGGGGAAUAUUGGAGAAUGGACGGAAGCCUGAUCCGUCCAUGCCGCAGGUGUGAAGAAGGUACUCGGAUUGUAAAGCACUUUAAGUUGGGAGGCGGUACCAGCAGAAUAAGCACCGGCUAACUUCGUGCCAGCAGCCGCGGUAAUAC
rnacentral:rRNA from 1 species